AUUGAACGCUGGCGGCAUGCCUUACACAUGCAAGUCGAACGGUAACAGGUUAAGCUGACGAGUGGCGACCGGGUGAGUAAUGUAUCGGAACGUGCCCAGUCGUGGGGGAUAACUGCUCGAAAGAGCAGCUAAUACCGCAUACGACCUGAGGGUGAAAGCGGGGGAUCGCAAGACCUCGCGCGAUUGGAGCGGCCGAUAUCAGAUUAGGUAGUUGGUGAGGUAAAGGCUCACCAAGCCGACGAUCUGUAGCUGGUCUGAGAGGACGACCAGCCACACUGGGACUGAGACACGGCCCAGACUCCUACGGGAGGCAGCAGUGGGGAAUUUUGGACAAUGGGCGCAAGCCUGAUCCAGCCAUGCCGCGUGCGGGAAGAAGGCCUUCGGGUUGUAAACCGCUUUUGUCAGGGAAGAAAAGGUUCUGGCUAAUACCUGGGACUCAUGACGGUGCCUGAAGAAUAAGCACCGGCUAACUACGUG
rnacentral:rRNA from 1 species